rnacentral:misc_RNA from 1 species
AGUCACCAGAUGAAUUGUCUUGGCUCCAUUUUGAAUAGAUCCUGUGAUUUAGGGAUUUAUGCUGGGCAUAUGAUGUUUUGUUUACCUCGUUCUGACAUCAAAUAGCUUAAGAAACAUCAUUUUUCAAAUGGUUUUUGGUUUUGGCCAUGUCCAAAAGGUAGUUAUAAAGAACGUAUAUGACAAAUAUAGCUGAAACAGAAAGGG